UACGGAGGGUGCGAGCGUUGUCCGGAAUCAUUGGGCGUAAAGGGCGCGUAGGUGGCCCCUCAAGCGUGCGGUGAAAGUCAGGGGCUCAACCCCUGAUCGGCCGUGCGAACUGGGGAGCUUGAGCACUGUAGAGGCAGGCGGAAUUCCGGGUGUAGCGGUGGAAUGCGUAGAGAUCCGGAAGAACACCGGUGGCGAAGGCGGCCUGCUGGGCAGUUUGCUGACACUGAGGCGCGACAGCGUGGGGAGCAAACAGGG
rnacentral:rRNA from 1 species